UACGGGGGGGGCAAGCGUUGUUCGGAAUUACUGGGCGUAAAGGGUUCGUAGGUGGCCUGCUAAGUCAGACGUGAAAUCCCUCAGCUUAACUGGGGAACUGCGUCUGAGACUGGUGGGCUUGAGUGCAGGAGAGGAACGCGGAAUUCCAGGUGUAGCGGUGAAAUGCGUAGAUAUCUGGAGGAACACCGGUGGCGAAGGCGGCAUCCUGGACCGAUACUGACGCUGAGGAGCGAAAGCCAGGGGAGCAAACGGG
rnacentral:rRNA from 1 species